rnacentral:miRNA from 1 species
AACUGAUGGAUCCGAGGGAUCUGAUGGAUCCGAUGGAUAGAUCCAUCAGAUCCCUCGGAUCCAUCAGAUCCCUCGGAUCCAUCAGA